UCAUGUAAAAUCUUUAAUAAUCGAUACAUUUUAAAUAGAUAACAAUAUUUCUAAUAAUAAUAACAGAUACAUUAAAAGAUAAAUGAUUAAUAUAAUAAAUAAUAAAAUAGAAAACAGGAUUAAUCUUCACCGUGAUAACCCAAACCUACUGACAUUACUAGUAAACAGCACAUGCACAUAACAUAAAUCAUGUAAUUGCCAGGAAAAGUGUCUAAGCUCCAUCAUUACAGUAAACAAUGAGUUAUCUCCAUUCCUCCUCUCAUAUAUCACACAGCCAGCAUGCCACAACUGUUUAUACAUGUUGUGAAAAGCUGAAGAAGCUCAUAUAUUAGCAGAAAAGAUAGGUUAUAUAUCUCUGUCGCUUUGGUCUGGUCGUUCCCGCUCUGAACCCCACUGAUAAUAGUCACUGUGACGUCAACCAUCAGACGCACACGCAUGCUUUAGAGGGAUGUAAACAAACAUCUCAUAUGAUAAGCACAAUAAUCCUUUCUGACCCACCACUCCAUGCCUUGUUCUGAGUGAAGGUUACAGAAUUCUGCCAGCUCUCAUCAAACUGUCUGUGAGAGCAAAGCUCUGGUUAUGGCCCUCUCUGCUGCCAUGGGGUUGCAGACACAUUGCAAUGGUAAACAGCUCUGGGUGAAGUCUCUGUUCAUGAAGAGAAGAUUAAUACACACCAGAGUGAUGAAUGCGUCUGAUGAGCCAUGGAGCAACAAGCCACAGAUCGGGUCUCAUUAGACAUCCCCACGGGGAAAUGACUUCAACCACACGGCUGCAGCUGUUUAUGUGGAAGAGGAGAAAGCACAGAAACAUAACAAACCUCCAUCACAGAAAGAAACCUAGUUUGUUUUUUUGUUGCUAAAUUUCAUCUUUCAAAAAAAAUAGCUCAACAAAACUGUAAAGAUGUGUGCAUCCGUU